ensembl:snoRNA
CCCAAACUAGAGUCACAUUCUGACACAGCUCUUGUCCUAGUGUGCUAGAGUCCCUGGAGAGAAUUUGCUGAUCUUGAUUCACUGGUGGAGAGGUGAUCAGUUUCCCUGCUAGUGCCUUGAUCAGAAACAUAU